UUCGCGGCCAGGCGGGAGCUGUAGUGCGCCUGCGCCUUCCGAGCCUCCUCGGAAAGCCACUUCUCGCGGUAUCUGACUUUUACGCUCCGCCCCUUGCGCAGGGUUGGUCUUGGUUGGCAAACAGCUCCUGGCACUUGGGCCCGGGCCACGUCGGUGUCGCCGGGCUUCUCGCUGCGUGGGCGGGCACCGCCGCUGUCCGUUAUAUGGAGUAGUGCAGUGUUAGCAGCCUUCUCUCGGUGCACAAACGGGCUCACGAAGACGUGCCCAGAUGAGGGGCAUUCAGCCUCGAGCCCGCCCCGCCUGGGUGUCCUGUCCCCGCAUCACAAUGCCCGGGUGGGCCGCAGCCCCGGGAGCAGGAGCGGCGCCCGGGCUGCAGAGGCGGUGGUCCCUCCGCAAGGUUUUCGCCAGGUGCCGCGAUCGCAGCAUCUUCCGAGAGCCCGCGGUUUGCCUGGCCCCGGGCACUAGCCACGGGCGUUGCGGGUGGUCCAGGAAACACCCGGGGGGUCGAGCUGACGGGCACAUUCUGAUGCAGCGGGUCUGGGACGAGCCUGGGCGUCUGCGUUUCUAACAGGCUCCCGGGAGAGGACGCCGGCGCUGGGAGCAGCCGGGAGCUGGAGAAACUGCCGAGGCGGUUUUAAGGCUUCGCAGCUGCUAGUGGGCCCUCUCACCCGCGUACUCCGCGCCCGGUGUCAUAUCGAGCGUAGUUAAAUGAAGCCACAUCCUUCAUAAAAAUUUGCUUUGCGGUAAAAUACUGGAAGUUUAUUUGAAAAAUUAAUUUGUCUUGCAGCUAUGUGGCUUUCUCUGAUAACUACGUGCAUAUUCAGAAAUCCUUGUGACCGAAUGAACUCAACUGGCAAGUUGUUUUUUUCAAAUGGAACAAAACAUUUUUCCAGGUUGUAUUUAACAUGGAAUGUGAUGUAAUAGGACAUUUUGUAGACACGUCAACAUGUUUUGAUUUUGAUAUUUAUAAUUUUCUGUUUGUAUUUUGCACCCAAUUAUUUUUUUGGUAAGUAAUACAUUGCUACUAUAGUAAAGAAAAUGGACACAACUUAAGUAUCUAGAUAUUUAAGGAGGAUGGUUAAGUCUACUUUGGGGACGUAAUACUAUUAACUUGUGUAACCAUUAACUUCUUUUUCAGGAACAUGUAAGUUGUACAUGAUAUGAUGUUGAAUGAUAACACUUUAAAAAGCACAUAACGCAGUACGAUCCUAAUUUUAAAAAUAUGUCUAUUGCUGUGUUUAUGUCCAUCAACACGUGAGUGGUAAGAUGAAGUGAUUUAAAAUGUAUGUUUUAAAGCUUCUUUAUUUUCCUGUUUAUUUCUUUCUAAUUAUGCAUUACAGGCACACCUCAUUUUGUUGUGCUUAACUUUGUUGCGCUUCACAGGUGUAGCGUUUUUUUUUUUUACAAACUAAAGGCAAAACCCUCCACCAGCAAGAAGAUGACUACGUGCUUUAUCCCUGUUUUUGUUUUCCGAUGGUGGUCUGGAACCAAACCCGCAUUGUCUCCAAGGAAUGCCUGUAUUUUAUAGUCAAUAAGGGGUUUCCUGAGGCAGCAGUAACUCCUUUCUCAAAGGGAUUGCAGACUUCUGGAGCAGUAAGUGCCUGAAGUCUUGUCCACGUGCUGAGUGGGACAGAGUGCUGGAAACAGCCUGUGGAAAAGCAGGGAGGAAGGAAGCGGAGAGAGCCAGGAACUCAGCAGGGACAAAGAGCCCCAGAUGGGAUUCUGGGAGCCCAGGGGAUGGGGUGGGGUGGGGUUCAGGGGCGCUGGAAUGGAGGGGAGUCUGAGGAGGGGCUGGGGUUCCUGGGGCCACUCACAGGGCUGGGUCAGGAGAGACUGAGGCAGGGAAGGCAAGGGGUCCCUGCAGGCAGGAGACCCUGGGCACACCCGAGUUAUACAAAGUUUAUAAAUACAUUCUUGUGGCUCUGAGUGCUUAUUGGUUUUUAUUUUCCCUAUUCAAAAAGCUUUACUGCCAUUGCUUCCAAUGUAAGUGAUUGAAAUGUAAUGUGGGAAAACUUGGAUCAUUACUUCCAGAAUUGCACAUUUUAAGAGGGUCAAGUUCAUCUUCGUAUUGUACCAGAGCUGGCCUCUCCCCACCCCUGUCCCCCAGCUCCCAGCACCCCUCAGACUCGCCUCAUCAUCCGUGGCCUGCUCUGCCCCGUGGGUGCCCUUAUCCUGGGUCUUGUCCCCAGGCCGCACUCUCCCGCUUACCUGCCUCCCCAGCGCCUGACGCGCUCACCCCUUCGGAAGUGUUUGUUGAAUAAAUAAACUGCUUA